rnacentral:piRNA from 1 species
UAGAUACGUGCACCAUGUGUGUGCCAUGGC